CCCUGUAGCUCAGUUGGAAAGAGCAUGGUGUUUGCAACGCCAGGGUUGUGGGUUCGAUUCCCACAGGGG
rnacentral:tRNA from 1 species